rnacentral:rRNA from 1 species
GGCGUAAAGGGGGCGUAGGUGGCUUUGUAAGUCAGAAGUGAAAGCCCUGGGCUCAACCCGGGAAGUGCUUUUGAUACUGCGAAGCUUGAAUGUGGUAGAGGAUAGUAGAAUUCCAGGUGUAGUGGUGAAAUACGUAGAUAUCUGGAGGAAUACCAGUGGCGAAGGCGGCUAUCUGGACCAACAUUGACACUGAGGCCCGAAAGCGUGGGGAUCAAACAGGAUUAGAUACCCUGGUAGUCCACGCCGUAAACGAUGGAUACUUGUUGUUGGUGGUAUUGACCCCAUCAGUGACGAAGCAAACGCGUUAAGUAUCCCGCCUGGGGAGUACGGUCGCAAGAUUAAAACUCAAAGAAAUUGACGGGGGCCCGCACAAGCGGUGGAGCAUGUGGUUUAAUUCGAUGCAACGCGAAGAACCUUACCUGGGUUUGACAUCUACUGGAAGACUCUCAGAAAUGAGGUCGCCUUCGGGCCGGUAGACAGGUGCUGCAUGGCUGUCGUCAGCUCGUGUCGUGAGAUGUUGGGUUAAGUCCCGCAACGAGCGCAACCCUCGCCCUUAGUUGCCAUCAUUCAGUUGGGCACUCUAAGGGGACUGCCGGUGAUAAGCCGGAGGAAGGUGGGGAUGACGUCAAGUCCUCAUGGCCCUUACGGGCUGGGCUACACACGUGCUACAAUGGCGGUGACAGUGGGAUGCAAUGGAGCGAUCCUGCGCAAAUCUCAAAAAGCCGUCUCAGUUCGGAUUGUGCUCUGCAACUCGAGCACAUGAAGUUGGAAUCGCUAGUAA